UUACUUCCAAAAUUCCUGAGAAUCUCAAAGAUAUAAUAGUCUGUCAGCUGGUCCUGCUUUUCACUUGUAAACUGAGCCUGCUCUUUUCCUCCAGUACUACAGAUUCACAAAUCCCACAGACAUCCAUCCUCAAGGAAAUAGCACUAUUUAAUUGGUAACAUAUAUCUGAAUUCAAACACAUGGAAAUCAUUUGCACUCUAAUUUAGCCCACUAAAUGGGCAACCUGGCAGAAAUUAGAUAAUGCCUGCGCUGUAUGGGUUAAGAUGAAAACGGUGACCCAGGUUACUUGUAAAGGAUGUGAAGACCACUUCUGUUGGAUACAGAGACUCUUCCUUUGGGUACACAGAUACCCAGUGACUGACUGGACAUGAUGAAAACCCUUGAUGUUUUUGCUUCCAAACUGUCUGUCUUCUUUGCUGCCUUCACCUCGGGGUCAGAUUCAAAUCAGCACCGCAUAUGGACAUGCUGUUCACCUGGGAAACACUUUUUCCUGAACCACAAUCCAGAGUGAAUUCUGACUAGACUGGCUUGAUCUGAUGACUUCUCCUUUAAGGUUGAGGAGUCUUAGCAGCUGUUCCACCCAGAAACAUCGGACCAUGAAGUAAGAAAAAGGUGGCUGUACCUGAGAUCUCUGUGUAUUCCCAGAAAGAACAGGGAAGUUCAUCUCCUUCAUGAGCCUGUCUUUUCUCUCAUUAUUUUUGCUCUCUGUGGCUCUCUGCCCCUCAUGUCAUUCGGAAGUGGAUUUGCAAGCAAAGCUCCCAUUUACCCAUUCAUUUCUUGGCCCUGAAUAAAACCUUUCCACCUCCCCAACAUCCCUCUCUCAGGCCUUGGUUCUCCCGUGGGAUGAGCUUCCAGAUGAGGGUUCAGUAACAGUGGCUGUGUCACCCUGUUCUAACCCACAAGACUCAAGGGUGAGGAUUGAAGCAGCUUCUGGGGAAACACAGAGUGAGACGGGACAGUUAUGACAGGACAGCUGGCUGCCCUUUCCUUGCUUCAAAUAUGGCCUGACUUGGGGUUACACAGGGUUUUGAGAUCAUGAGCCAUGGGAUGCAUGAGCCAAACCAGAGAACCAGAAAGGUGGGAAGGCAGAAAGAGCAGGACCUUGAGGGAAUCCACAUAUUUGUAAAUAGUCUGUAUCCUGCUUCUCAUCUUUCCUUGUCACUUUUGGCCUUUUUCUGAUCCUCUUCUGAGGCUCAGUUAUUUGCUUAUGUAGGAAAUGCUCGCUCCUGCCUGCCUGGUACACAGGGAGUCUUACUGGGAUGAAUUUGCCGGCAGCAAGGUGGUUGGUAGAGAGAGAAGGGAGACACUGGGAGGAAACCCAGGUGGCACCUGCCCAGCCCUUCCUCCGGACACCUGCACAGAACAUAUAAGGACUCCUCCUUUCCCUUUCACCUGUGGCCUGAGUUCUCCCCAGGAAGUUCAGAAAAGGUGCUGAGCACAGAUUCUCCCUGUCAGUGGCUGCAGGGCAAUCUCCUUGGCCGGGGACAGGAGGAGUUAAAACAGCAGGCUGCCCCUGAAGAACCUUUACAGGCCUGCCAGGAUCAGGUUCAGGUUGCUGAAUCUGGAACCCAAACCCUCCUGCCUGCUGCAGCUCCGCCUGACUCACCUCUUCUUUUGCCCGAUGCACCUUGAUUCCAGGCAUCUCCCAUGACCAUGAUCUCCAGGGCUUUGCUGGGGCUGUGCCUUCACCUGGAAUGUCUUCCUCACUUCCCCCUCCAUGUUAAGUCUCACAGGCCACCUUCUCUCUGCUGGCUGCCCUAAGUCCUCCCUGGCUUCCUUGGAAGGUGGAGAACUCCUCAGUACUUGUAUCUGUGUCAUCUUCUGUGACAGCUGUCUCCCCGUGACACUACACGGGGCUCUCUCUGUCGUCUUCUCUGCAGCAGCCCCUGUAGGUCUAGUAGAAACAAUGUGCGCAGCCUCUGUUCUACUGCCCCUGGCUGGCCCAAAUAUGGGGUGUGAGAGGCAUUCCCUUGACACAGGAUCCUCCAGCCACCGAGAACGUCGCUCAGGUUCACCUUCCCUAGCAGCUGAGGAAGUCUCUCAGUUUUUCUUCUCAGCCUCCAUGGUCAAUUCCUUCUGGCAGAGAACUGAUAAGACUACGGCUCAGAUGACAUAUAAAUUACCUGGCUAUUUUCAAGUAAUUCUGACUGUUGUACAAGAUUUCUGAGAGUUUCCAUUUAUUUACCUACAACUCUUUCCUGGAUUUUUGAUACAUUUAUAUGAGGACAAAGAAAAAGUGAAAAGCAUGGGACCCAGCUCCAGGCUGAAGAGUGGCGUGAACUUCUAAAGCCCCUUUCCCAGGUGACACCCAGGUCCAGAUGUCAGGCUCAGACCCCCACCUUGCUCUCCUCCUGCUUCCUAAUGCUGCCAGCGACUCUUGGGUCGGGGUCCUUUCCUUAAUGCCCUGGCUGCUCCUCUGCUGGCACUUAAUCAGGGAAAGCGAGUUAAUAGAAACAGAUUCAGUUUAAAACUAGCAGUUUGCAUAAUCACAAAACGGGCAGCAGCGUCCUUUGCCAGCCAGCUGUAGGCCCACAGUCCCUUUGUGGUUGAUGGGUUAUUGAAGAUUCUGGAGUUUCUGAAGAUGAUCAUCAUUUUCCACCUAACUAUGAAAUGUGUCCUAGGUGCGGCCCAGCAAUGCAGCCCAGGUCUUACCCCAGCAGUGGUGCAAAAGUGUGCAGUGGUGUGAGGAUUGUGUACAGAAUGGCUUUACUUUUAACAUCUAAAAGGAGGGAAAUAACUAACUCUCUAAACAUAGAGGGUAGAUAGCUGAAUUCAUUAAUAGAAGGGAAUCAGAUAUAAUCCUUAAGCAGAUGGGAGAGAGAAGCACCUCAUAAGAAAAGACUUUUGAGUCCUAAAGAUAGAGGCUGAAGCAAAAGAGAAAUGGGAAGUCCCCGACUUACCAAGGAUUCUUCCCCUGGCUGCAUCUGAACACAAUCCAGCUCUCCUGAGCUGUGUGGAUCCACUCACCAGCUGCGGACUAAACAGUGUGCAAAGGCAUUCUCUGGGCAGAUAGAGUCCGGCACCUGACAAGAAACUGAAAUUCACAACUUCUGAGCAGCUCAUCCUCACCCACCCCAAGCUCACUGCCUGCUGGGCACCACCCUCACCCCACCCUGCUUGUUUACUUAGUGAAACGAUCCUGCUCAGCCCCAGGUCCUUCUAGGCCCAGUCCACCUCAGCUGGGGCACUAUUUGUGGUCUUCAAAGACAAAGACCUGUCACAGAUAAGUGUGGCACCCUCUACAGGCUACUCCAUGCCUCGCUAGGCAUGGAGCUGAGCACCCUCCCGCCAUGAGCCCCCUUGCCCAGAACACCUGCCUCAUCCACAUCCGCCAGCAGCACCAGCACAGGCUUCAUUUUUGUUGUACUGCUGUCGGGGGACGUCGUGCGCACCCCACUUCUAGAUACGAGCUUCCACGGGUUUUUCUGCCAGAAGCACCUGCCUCGCCACUUGGAGCUGUCACGCAUGGCUUUCCCUGAGGCCACCUGACAUGCCCCCCCCCCAGCAAAGUCCACUGUCCUCUGGUCCCCUCCCGUGGUACCUUGAAACAAGGCUUAAUGCUCUGGCUCUGCCAUGGCUCCACAGCAAAAGCUAUUCAGCUGGAAUGUUGUGGGACUUCUGUAUUCCUUUAGGCUUUGUUUCAUCCUGGGCCAAUGCCCAUGGAGCCUUGCAGACCGACACCUGUCAUCCUAGCAUUUGAGGAAGGGACAGCAGGGAAGAGCUUUCGGUCAUCGUGUCUCAGCUCCUUAGUAGGAGUUCAUUGAAAGCCCCCAGCACCCACACGGAUCUAGGAGUGAUUGCACCCCUGCUCCUUCUGAAGUCCGCUGUAGAAGGAUGACAGGGAUGGCACAGUUGCUGGGAUAGGACAUCCUCCCCCUGGCUGUUCAAUGAAGUAGCAAAAUGUUCCCGAGGGCCACAGUCCAGUGGAUGAAGCCGGCACAAUGAACUGACCAGAUCCCUGUUGCCACUGUGUGCUAGAGCGGGUCACCCUCAGUGUCCCAGGGACGGAUUUCUGAGAAGUCACCCUCAUCAUGUUUCGUUUUUGGAAGGAAGAUGACAUCCAAAGAAGACAGAGGUGAACUGGGCCGAAUGAUGGAUCUCUGAGGCCCUAUAUCGCUUGCUCUCCUUGACACCUCUGAUCUUCUGCAGCACACAGUUUGGGUUUAUGAUGUAGUGGAGAACGGGUGGUGAAGAGAAAACAAGAGUCCAGGCUGUGCGUGUGAACAGUGUCCCAGUAACCUCAAUUAAGAAGCCCAGAUAUCAAUAGAACCUGUUUGGAGUGGAGGUCCCAUGGCAGUGUACAGAAUAGAAGUCUCUUUUGCCCUGCAUUCGACUCUGCCUGGCUCCAUUCACACUACUGCAGCCACACUGUGAGCCCCGGUGUCCCCACGUGGUCACUGGGACCCAGCUCCUGGCCUGGGGCUGAGCAGCCCCUCAGCCAAGAUUUUCUCUAGUGGGUGGAAGUGGGUACAGAUUUGAAGGAAGACCAUUUAUUGUGAAAGCUGUGAUUGAAAGAUAUGUACUAAGUCUUGUCAUUUUCUUGUUUUUUUGAAUGUUGCUUUUCUUCUUGCCUGUUUCUUUUCUUGUCCGUAGCUUAUCAAAUUCUUCCUCUUCUGUUAGUAGGAUUCCUUUAAGUAUUUUCUGCAGUGCUGGCUUAUGUCCCAGAAAUUUUUUAAAUUUCUGCCUGCUUAGAGUCUUUCCACCUUCGGUUUCGAAGGGCAAUGUUAUUGGCUUUAGUAAUCUAGGUUGGCAGGUUUCACAGAUUACUUGGGGCUGGGAACAUUUGUGUUCAUUAAUGCUAGUGUUUAUUCAGGGUCUCUGAUGAUGGGACGCUUACGCAGACCUCAUGAGGCGAUCCUGUACAUUCCACUGGUUACCUCUGUGGCUCCCAUUUUAAAGCACAAGAAACCAUCAGAAACAUCAGGUAGCAUGGUCAAGUGUGCAGAGAGGUGUUGGGGACAGAAAUUGAACCGAAAACUUUGUGAUCUGAAUUCAUUUUUCUGAUGACUGUAUUUUAGUCCUUUACUAUACAAAAUAUUUGCUAAUGUAUAUAUGAUCAUGGUAAAUGACUCUUCUCAUUGAAAAUCAGUCUUUUACCCGGUACCCAAGUUCCUAUCUUGGUAAAUUUCCUGCUCCCCCUGUCAUGAUUUCCAAAGCUCCCACAUUCUUGUUUCCACAAGAUCCUGCAUCUCAUGAGGGCUUGGAGGCCUUGUACUUGAAUCAGGUCUUGUACUUGAAUCAGCUCUGGGCUCUCCCGGCCCCUUGCUGUCCUCCCCUAUCUAGUGGAAUUUCUUCACGGUAUUUCCUGCAGAUGGGAGAAAGUACCUCAUUAACUCCGUCUUUCUGAUGGUGACUCUGGCCCAGUGUUGAUGAAGGCGAGGACAGGGCCAUGUGAAACACACGGUGUAUGCUACAAGCCCUCGCGUGGAUCUUGAGGGAAUUUACAGUCAUCCGAAUGAAGAUGCUUGGUGUCUAAGUGUCUCUCUGUCCUCGUCACGCUCAGUCUCCUUCGCACUGCGUGCAGGCCCGUUUGAUCUUAACCCAGUUCAGGUGCUGCCUCUCAGUCCUGGAUCUCAGCUGCUGGUUGGGGAACGCACCUGUGCUCAGCCAGAGUCGGGCACCGUGUGCUUCACCCUUGCGUUCCACGUGGCUGCAGUCACCACAUUCUGAAGGAAAUGACUGGCUGGAGGGGAGGGAGCCCAGUGAGUAGGAAGGAAGGCAGAGGGUGAAAGUCCAUGAGGAAGGAAAGUCAGGCAUCGGUGCCAGAUAAACAGUCAAUCAGCACAACAAAGGCUCAGGGUGUCAGUGUCAGGAUCCAGCUUGACCUAACCACAGCCAUCUUGAGAAGUUACUGAUAUGAUUUUUCCUCAGUGACCAUGGCCUCCUUUUAUCUCCACAGCUUCCCACCAUACUGUAGAGAAUCAUAGCCACAGGACUGGCAUGAGAGUCCAACUUUACCUGCCAUAUCAGUCCCAGGAAUGUGCCUGACCUGUUAAAUGUCAUCUUGAGAUAAACCAGAACAAAAGACAGGAAGAGCCGGGUGAAUCUGAGAUAUCAGCAUGAAUGGACAAACAGCCUGAGAGAAGCUGAGACUCUUGACCACGAGCUGGUUGAUCUUUACCAUCACCAGGUCCCUGCACCUGUUCCUUGGAUCUGGUUUCAACCCACACACACACACACAUCAACUGUCUUCUUCCAACACAACAUUUGGAGUUUCAUUGGAAUUUCAUUGAUCCCUCAAUGAAUCCUGGCCCCGUGGAGGCAGGAUGACUUGCCAAGGGCUUCCCCCUUCUCUGAUGUCAUCACCGCCAUUACCGCUGUACCGCCAGCAGCACCCCAACCCCUGCCCCCACCGCCACCACCAUCGCUGUCAUCAUCACCCUGGAGUCAGACAAUGAAAGACAGGGCUGGAGAACAGCAGGGAUGGGCUUUAUUGUUGCUGGAACCCCACGGUUCGGGCAGUGUCGCUCUCUAGGGUAGCCUCCCUUUCAUUUGUUGUUUGAAUCCUGCUGUGAUGAUGUGUUGCUGUGUUCUACGGCAGCAGAGGCAAGAGCAAUCACACUGCUUGCUGCUCCAAGUGCGGCCCCAGCUCCAGUGAGCACCAGACUGGCCCCUCCUGAGAAGGGUGCCAGAGCUAUGCCGAGGACGGACAUGACACCAGCGGCAGUGUCAGUGGAGCUGGACACCACGUGGUCUACAAGGUCACUGAGCUGGGCUUCUUGUUUCCUCUCUCUGUUCGCGUCGGCCAUGUCAGUGAGAAGCCCUUCCGGAGCCUCACGUAAUGCGUAGGUCUCACCCCUGUAACAGUAAAGUUCAAUGGAUUAAGAGAGAUAUUUCAUUUAUCUGGAAAAUGAUUUCUAACGCUCGAUCCAGUGUCGGCAACAGGUCCUUUAAUCAUAAAUGCAAAGGUAAAGAAUCGUACAGGUAUAAGGAAUUUUUCUUUCAAUGGUGACCAUAUUUUGGGCCUUUUAAACGCUCUGUGGUCCAUAAGGGGGUAAUGAGUAAAAGUCACCUCUAGAUGAUCUUUCCUGGAAGUCAUUUCAUAAAGACCCUUGCUCACUCAGGUCCAUGCUGUGAGUGCCUAGUAUUUGCGGGGUGGGAAUUCUUCAGGGGAAAAGAGAAGUAGUCCUGGACAGGACCUUAGUUCAGAGCUUAUCAGUAUAGCAAAGAAUGAAUUCUACCCAAAAAGAAGCUUUCUCUCUCCCCCAGCUGCUGGGAGGUGAUCUGCUACCGGGAUGUGAUCUGUAAACCCCUGAACAGUCCUCAAUUCCGGGAAUAUCUUGGUUUUCCUGCGGACUUUGGACACAAUGUCACACAAAUUCAGCAUCCCUAAUCUAAAGAUCCUAAAUUUGAACUGUAGCCAAAAGACAUCCUUUUGAUACAAUGUCACAAGUAGAAGUUGCAACAUGUCCUUAGGGAAUAGGUCACAGUGAAAACACAGGCAGUUUUUAAAAUACUGAAAAAUAUCUUUUUCUCUAUGUGUGCAAAAUGUAAAGAAACACUCAUGGAUUUAUUGUUCAGACCUGGAUCUCGACUCUGUGCGGUGACAUUAUUAAACUACAAAUACUUAAAGAUGAGGAAAAAAUCCAGAACUUAAAACAUCUGCAGUCCCUAGUGUUUCCCACGAAGGAUGCUCACUAUCAGCAAUGGGAUGAACUAUAGCGCCUUGCGAUGGUUUCUCAAACACACAGGAAUUGGACGCUACAGUCACUGGGCUGUGGUGUGCGAGGGAGAACCCAGUUCAGCCAUGAGGGCAGACUGUGAAUCAGCCUCCAAAGAACCCCAGACACUGGGGUUAGAGUUGAAAAGGACUCUUCCCUUGUCCACAGUGUACUUAAGCUUUUCUGAACAUCUUCUCACUGGGGCAUUGACUUUGGCUUUCGAGGUCCACCUUGUGUCACAUGACUCUGCAUUACUCUUUCUUAAACCCUUCUAAGUCAGGACAGGGAGAACCCACCACCCCUAUACCUGACCAGGUGCGUGUCGCCAACCUCUGAGGUACUUGUCCCUGACCUGCUUCAGGAAGAGUCCCGUGAAGUCAUUGUCACAGAAUCACUUAGUAUUUAUAGUCCUGUUAAUAAUGAGCCUCCUCGUUGGCUGUUAAUUCCCAGCUGUCCCUACUGUGUCCAGAGGUGAUCCCCGUCCCUCUCUCCAGAGCAACUGUGCUGAAUGAUGAAUUCCUCACUGCUUUGACUUGUGUCAGAAUAAGGAACCUUUCCCAAGUUGAGACCCUGUUUGGCAACUCCCGAUGCGAACUGUGCCAUGUAACUAAUAGAGUGCACUGUGUCCUGAGAGAAUUGAAUGCUCCAUUUGCCAACCCCUGGAAACUCAGGCCUAUGCAGCUCUUCCUUUGACUGACUUGAAGCUGUGUCCUUUCCCUAUAAUAAACUGCAGUGGUGUAAUGAGCUCUGUGAGUUCUCCUGGUAAAUUAGAAAACCUGAAUGUGGUUUCAGAAAUUCCAGGACUUUGAAGAGCUUGUCAAAAAUGAAGUUAGAUGUGCUGGGGAUUUAGAACAGUGGUUCUGGUGACUGCCUCACCAGUACCAAAAUAAAAUAAAAAAAUGGAGCUAGAAUCUGGGUGUUGGGGUGCAUCCCUAUAAUCGCAUACCCUGUGACUCCGAGGCAGGAAAUUCAGAAGUUCAAGCCCCAGCCUGGACAACUUAUCUGCGCUACAAGACUUUCUAUUCAAAAAAUAAAAAUAAAGGGUAGAAAUAAUAAAGAGUUGAAAGUCUUUUCAGAGUGCAGGCCAUGGGUUCAAUCACCAGGAAUGCCAGGUUUAAAAAAAAAAAGGAUGGUCUUUGUUCUGUGCCUGAGACAUUGGAGUGUGGCUAGUGCUGGGCACUUAGAAUGUACAUAAUAAAUCCUCCACGUCAGAGGGAUCUCAAAGGCCUCUUUGCCUGUGGUAUCCUUUCUUCCAACGCCUGGUGCUCUUUGCCCUUCCAAGUUGAAGGUCAGUGUGUCUGGCUGCUGCCUCAGUUGAUGGAGAGCAGGAGACCUGGCUGGCAGACCUGCUGCACCCUGACGCCCCAUAGCCUGUCACCUCCUGCCCCACACUUGUCACCAAAACUUUCAGGCCUCAUUGGAUGUCAGCCCUCUAAAGAUGCCCCAGUUGGAGACAGCUUCACCUGUGUGUAGCCAUGGCCAUGUGCAAAGAGUCAUGAGACACUGAGACCCAGCUGUAAUAAAACCCCAAGCCUGUCAAGUCCUG